rnacentral:tRNA from 3 species
CGCGGGGUAGAGCAGUUGGUAGCUCGUCGGGCUCAUAACCCGGAGGUCGUAGGUUCGAGUCCUGCCCCCGCAACCA